CGAGUAGAGGAUGAAGAACUCAUCGCCUACAUGCUGCAAGGACUUGGUCCAGAUUAUGAUCCUUUUGUCACAAGCAUUACAACUAGAACAGAUGUUUACACUGUCAGCGAUGUGUAUGCUCAUAUGCUGAGCUACGAGA
rfam:Phaseolus vulgaris cultivar G19833 chromosome 8, whole genome shotgun sequence.